rnacentral:tRNA from 1 species
GCGCCGGUGGUGUAAUGGCGUAGAGCAUUCCCGCCCGGUUAGAGGGAGGUGCGGGUUCGAAUCCCGCCUGGCGCU